rnacentral:rRNA from 1 species
ACGCUCGACACCUACGGGAAGCAGCAGUGGGGAAUAUUGCACAAUGGGGGAAACCCUGAUGCAGCGACGCCGCGUGAGUGAAGAAGUAUUUCGGUAUGUAAAGCUCUAUCAGCAGGGAAGAAGAUGACGGUACCUGAGUAAGAAGCCCCGGCUAACUACGUGCCAGUAGCCGCGGUAAUCUGAGCGGGCUGGCAAGGC